GUUGCUAUAGUUUAAACAAAACGCAGGUUUGUGGUGCCUGUAAUGUAGUAUCUACUAGUAACC
rnacentral:tRNA from 1 species